GUCUUGUAAUUGGAAUGAUGGGAAUUUAAACCUCUUCCAGAGUAUCAAUUGGAGGGCAAGUCUGGUGCCAGCAGCCGCGGUAAUUCCAGCUCCAAUAGCGUAUAUUAAACUUGUUGCAGUUAAAAAGCUCGUAGUUGAAUUUCUGCUGUAUCGUUAUCUUCUGCUUGACAGUUUGGUAUCGUUAUGGCUUGUUGGGUCACUUUGUGUCCCGGCGUUUACUUUGAGAAAAUUAGAGUGCUUCAAGCAGGCUUUUGCCUUGAAUACUUUAGCAUGGAAUAAUGGAGUAGGACUUUGGUUCUAUUUUGUUGGUUUUAGGAGCCAGAGUAAUGGUUAAUAGGAACAGUUGGGGGCAUUCGUAUUUGACUGUCAGAGGUGAAAUUCUUAGAUUUGUCAAAGACGAACUACUGCGAAAGCAUUUGCCAAGGAUGUUUUCAUUAAUCAAGAACGAAAGUUAGGGGAUCGAAGACGAUCAGAUACCGUCGUAGUCCUAACUAUAAACGAUGCCGACUAGAGAUUGGAGGUCGUCAGUUUGAACGACUCCUUCAGCACCUUGAGAGAAAUCAAAGUCUUUGG
rnacentral:rRNA from 1 species